rnacentral:tRNA from 1 species
GGAACUAGAGUUUAAUGGUAGAGCACUCACCUAGUAUGUGUGAGGCCCUGGGUUAGAUCCCUAGUACCA